rnacentral:lncRNA from 1 species
AUUGAAUGGAAUGAGCUUUGGCCAAAAGUUGUUGAAUGCUACUUCAAAAAACUAUUUCUCGACAAUUUAUUUCACAAUCAUCUCUCUUCAAUUCACGUUGGGAACCUUUUCUUUUAUUUUCAAAUAUUAUAUUUCAAUAUGUUUUUUUCUUCCAUUUAAUUUUUUUUUAGCCGUUCCAUUUAAUUUUUUAAAGGAGGUUCCAUUUAAUUUUAUUACCUUUUUUUCAAAGAAAUUUUAUUAUCUUUUUAUCACUUAUAUAUUUAAUUUAAAUAUCGUUUAAUUAUAACAACCUCACAAAUAUUUUUAUUUACGCUAUCAUUUAAUGAUACAGAAUAUUUUUAUUUUCUUUCUUCAACCUCGCAAAUAUACAGACAC